UACAGAGGGGGCAAGCGUUAUUCGGAAUUAUUGGGCGUAAAGGGCGCGUAGGCGGCUUGGCAAGUGGAAGGUGAAAUCCCUCGGCUCAACUGAGGAACUGCCUUCCAGACUGCUUUGCUUGAGUCCGGGAGAGGUGAGUGGAAUUCCCAGUGUAGCGGUGAAAUGCGUAGAUAUACGGAGGAACACCUGCGGCGAAGGCGGGUAGCUGGGCCAACACUGACGCUGAUGCGCGAAAGCUAGGGGAGCAAACGGG
rnacentral:rRNA from 1 species